ACGGCUACAUCAAGUUAAAACACCGGUUCCCGCACGAUCAUCGAAGUUAAGCAACGUCGAGCCUACUCAGUACUUAGAUGGGUGAUAGUUGGGAAUACGACGU